rnacentral:rRNA from 1 species
GACGAACGCUGGCGGCGCGCCUAAUGCAUGCAAGUCGAGCGACGCAUGCUCGGUGGGUAACCACUGGGUAUGACGGAGCGGCGAACGGGUGAGUAACACGUGAGUAACCUGCCCCGAAGAUCGGGAUAGCCCGGGGAAACCCGGAUUAAUACCGAAUACCCUCUCUGGAUCGCAUGGUCCGGUGAGGAAAUGCCUUUGUGCUUCGGGAUGGACUCGCGGCCUAUCAGCUAGUUGGUGAGGUAACGGCUCACCAAGGCAACGACGGGUAGCUGGUCUGAGAGGACGAUCAGCCACACUGGGACUGAGACACGGCCCAGACUCCUACGGGAGGCAGCAGCAGGGAAUCUUGUCCAAUGGGCGCAAGCCUGAGACAGCGACGCCGCGUGAGGGAUGAAGGCCUUCGGGUUGUAAACCUCUUUCAGGAGGGACGAAACUGACGGUACCUCCAGAAGAAGCCCCGGCCAACUACGUG